rnacentral:rRNA from 1 species
CCUACGGGAGGCAGCAGUGGGGAAUAUUGCACAAUGGGCGAAAGCCUGACGCAGCGACGCCGCGUGAGCGAUGCAGUCUUCCGGUAUGUAAGGCCUUUUCAGCAGGGAGAAAAAUGACGGUACCCGACUAAGAAGCACCGGCUAACUACGUGCCAGCAGCCGCGGUAAUACGGAGGGUGCAAGCGUUAUCCGGAUUCACUGGGUGUAAAGGGGGCGUAGUCGGCGUGGCAAGGCAGAUGUGAAAGCCGGGGGCUCAACCCCGGGACUGCAGUUGGAACUGGAUCGCUGGAGUGCCGGAGAGGCAGGCGGAAUUCCUGGUGUAGCGGUGAAAUGCGUAGAUAUUAGGAGGAACACCAGUGGCGAAGGCGGCCUGCUGGACGAUAACUGACGCUGAGGAACGAAAGCGUGGGGAGCAAACAGGAUUAGAUACCCGUGUAGUC